rnacentral:rRNA from 1 species
GACGAACGCUGGCGGCGUGCUUAACACAUGCAAGUCGAACGGUAAGGCUCCAGCUUGCUGGGGUACACGAGUGGCGAAAGGGUGAGUAACACGUGGGUGACCUGCCCUGCACUUCGGGAUAAGCCUGGGAAACUGGGUCUAAUAACGGAUAGGACCGCACCGUGAGGGUGUGGUGGAAAGGUUUUUCGGUGUGGGAUGGGCCCGCGGCCUAUCAGCUUGUUGGUGGGGUAAUGGCCUACCAAGGCGGCGACGGGGAGCCGGCCUGAGAGGGUGGACGGCCACAUUGGGACUGCGACACGGCCCAGACUCCUACGGGAGGCAGCAGUGGGGAAUAUUGCACAAUGGGCGGAAGCCUGAUGCAGCGACGCCGCGUGGGGGAUGACGGCCUUCGGGUUGUAAACUCCUUUCACCAUCGACGAAGGGUUUCUGACGGUAGAUGGAGAAGAAGCACCGGCUAACUACGUG